rnacentral:rRNA from 1 species
AAUUCGCCCUUGAGCACGUAGGUGGGUUUGUAAGUCAGAUGUGAAAGCCUUCUGUUCAACGGAAGAAUUGCAUCUGAAACUACAAGUCUUGAGUGUAGGAGGGGAGAAUGGAACUUCUGGUGGAGCGGUGAAAUGCGUAGAUAUCAGAAGGAACGCCGGCGGCGAAAGCGAUUCUCUGGCCUAUUACUGACACUCAGUGUGCGAAAGCUAGGGGAGCAAACGGGAUUAGAUACCCCGGUAGUCCUAGCCGUAAACGAUGGGCACUAAGUAGAGGGGAUUACCGACGUUCUCUCUGCCGUAGCUAACGCAUUAAGUGCCCCGCCUGGGGAGUACGGCCGCAAGGCUAAAACUCAAAAGAAUUGACGGGGGCUCGCACAAGCGGUGGAGCAUGUGGCUUAAUUCGAUGCAACGCGAAGAACCUUACCGGGGCUUGACAUGGUAGAAGUAGGAACCCGAAAGGGUAACGAACGGUAUCCAGUCCGUGACUAUCACAGGUGUUGCAUGGCUGUCGUCAGCUCGUGUCGUGAGACGUUGGGUUAAGUCCCCUAACGAGCGAAACCCUUGUUUUUAGUUACCAGCGGGUUAUGCCGGGUACUCUAGAAAGACUGCCGUCGUCAAGACGGAGGAAGGUGGGGAUGACGUCAAGUCAUCAUGGCCCUUAUGCCCCGGGCUGCACACGUGCUACAAUGGUCGGUACAAACGGAAGCGAAGCCGAGAGGUGAAGCGAAUCCAAGGGCGAAUU